UGAAGUUCUUUCGAUUCAAACCCAGAACUCUCCGCCUCUGGACCUCUCCUUUGAAGUUCGAUUCGAAUCAAACCCAGAAAAUCUCGUAUCAAUUCAUUCGAUUCAUGUCCUCUACUCUCUUUUUGGCUGAUGGAGAAGGAGAGACGUGAGGAGCUCUCAGAUGAGUGAAGCCUCAGCUCUGGCUAUAGGUACUCAACUGAAUUUGCAGAAUCAACUAAUCAAGGCCUCAUUUGGGUGAACUGUGAACUAUGAAUUAUUGACUUAAAAAUUGUAUGAACUAUGGAGUGAUGAAGGGAGUUGAUGUAUGAGUGAAUAAGUGAUGAACUCAAGUAGUGAAGUUGAUGUAUGAGAGUUUUUAGUUUAUUUUUCAUUUCCAGGUUGGCCCUUCAAAUUG